AGCGUCCUACGGAGGCAGCAGUGGGGAAUAUUGGGCAAUGGGCGCAAGCCUGACCCAGCAACGCCGCGUGAAGGAAGAAGGCUUUCGGGUUGUAAACUUCUUUUCUCAGGGACGAAGAAAGUGACGGUACCUGAGGAAUAAGCCACGGCUAACUACGUGCCAGCAGCCGCGGUAAUACGUAGGUGGCAAGCGUUAUCUGGAUUUAUUGGGUGUAAAGGGCGUGUAGGCGGGAGCGCAAGUCAGAUUUGAAAAAUCAGGGCUCAACCCUGAGCCUGCAUUUGAAAAUGUGUUUCUUGAGUGC
rnacentral:rRNA from 1 species